rnacentral:rRNA from 1 species
GACGAACGCUGGCGGCGUGCCUAAUACAUGCAAGUAGAACGCUGAAGGAGGAGCUUGCUUCUCUGGAUGAGUUGCGAACGGGUGAGUAACGCGUAGGUAACCUGCCUGGUAGCGGGGGAUAACUAUUGGAAACGAUAGCUAAUACCGCAUAAGAGUAGAUGUUGCAUGACAUUUGCUUAAAAGGUGCAAUUGCAUCACUACCAGAUGGACCUGCGUUGUAUUAGCUAGUUGGUGAGGUAACGGCUCACCAAGGCGACGAUACAUAGCCGACCUGAGAGGGUGAUCGGCCACACUGGGAAUGAGACACGGCCAAGAAUCCUACGGGAGGCAGCAGUAGGGAAUCUUCGGAAAUGGACGGAAGUCUGACCGAGCAACGCCGCGUGAGUGAAGAAGGUUUUCGGAUCGUAAAGCUCUGUUGUAAGAGAAGAACGAGUGUGAGAGUGGAAAGUUCACACUGUGACGGUAUCUUACCAGAAAGGGACGGCUAACUACGUG